rnacentral:rRNA from 1 species
UACGUAGGGCGCAAGCGUUGUCCGGAAUUAUUGGGCGUAAGGAGCUCGUAGGCGGUUUGCCGCGUCUGCCGUGAAAGCCCGGGGCUCAACCCCGGGUCUGCGGUGGGUACGGGCAGACUGGAGUGCAGUAGGGGAGACCGGAAUUCCUGGUGUAGCAGUGAAAUGCGUAGAUAUCAGGAGGAAUACCGAUGGCGAAGGCAGGUCUCUGGGCUGACACUGACGCUCAUGCACGAAAGCGUGGGGAGCAAACAGG